rnacentral:tRNA from 1 species
GGGGUUGUGGCUCAGCAGUAGAGCACUCGCCUAGCAUGUGGGAGACCCUGGGUUCGAUCCUUAGCACCA